UACGGAGGGUGCGAGCGUUGUCCGGAAUCAUUGGGCGUAAAGGGCGCGUAGGUGGCGGCGUCAGCGUGCGGUGAAAGCCCCCGGCUCAACUGGGGAGGGUCACGCGAUACUGAUCGACUCGAAGGCAGGAGAGGGUAGUGGAAUUCCCGGUGUAGUGGUGAAAUGCGUAGAUAUCGGGAGGAACACCAGUGGCGAAGGCGACUACCUGGCCUGUUCUUGACGCUGAGGCGCGAAAGCUAGGGGAGCAAACGGG
rnacentral:rRNA from 1 species